GUAAGGAGUAGGACAUAGCCUUCAUCCAUGAUAAAUCCAUAGUAGCUACCCCCCUCAGGGAGUGGCAGAAGAGUGGACGGAUUCAGAACCUGACAUCUUUGAAGGGUAACAUUGUCAGGUAACAGGAGAUGACAUUGGAGACGAAGGUGCCUGGCAGGGGUGACAUGUUUGAGUUGGACCUGGUUAAGUAUGGCAGAAAUAUCAUGAGGUGCCAAAACAGUCAGAGGGUGGCCAAGAACCAGGUCCCCAGUGCGGGUGAUGAGUUCCUGAGCGGCAAAAACAGCUCGGAGGCAAGAGGGGGUUCCUCUAGCCACAAUGUCUAGUUGGCAAGAGAAGAAGCCAAUAGGCCUUUGGCGGCUGCCAGGUCCAUGGGCUUGAGUAAGGACUCCUGUAGCGUGGCCUUGUCUUUCAGACACAAAUAAUUUGAAUGGUUUGGUGUAGUCUGGCAAGCCAAGGGCGGGAGCAGAGGCAAUAGCACGUUGGAGAGUGUAGAAGUUGUCAUGUGCUUCUGAGGACAGACAGAACGGGUCUGAUUUAAGAGCAUCGUUCCUCUAAGAACACUGCGGGCUGCAUCUGUGUCAACCAGGAAAGUAGUGGGAUGAUCCUCAACGGGUAGAACUACUGUGGCUAGUGGCCCUCCCCCAUCCCCUGUAGACACGUGGCAGGGGCAUUAAGCAUCAGCGGGUUUGCUCACCUCUGUAUGGGCUGUGUUACUGACUCUAACCCCUUUCUAUGUCAUUAGCCAUAGCUUUUUGCAGUCUGAACAUGUCUAUCAUUAUAAAUAAUGGUUGAUAGUACGUGAAGUAAAGUUCCUAUAUGUCUUUGGAUAAAACAUUAACUAUUGCGGUACUAUCAUUUAUAUUAAUUAGACCAUAACAAUUAUACCACCCUGUAACUAAAAUGAAUAACCAGUAGUGUCUGGGUUAAUAAAACAUGUCACUAAUCCUUCUAAAACUAAACCAUUAUUUAACGUAAAGGAUGUUACUGUAAACAUAUGAUCUGUAACUAGCAAGAUUCAAUGUUUAAAAUAACUUGCAUUAUUUGGCUAUUUCCCUUGUUGCAAGAUUAAUCUAGAUAAUCAGCUGUUAUGCUCUUAUAUUCGUGUCCAACAGAUCUCAUUUGUAGGUCACACCACAGUUGCAAAU